CGAUUUUCUCAGCUCUAAUUGUUCCAUUUGGAGGUGGUGUACGAGGAUAUGAGCAAACUCAUUCUACAUCUCGAGAUAUGUUCUAACACUUGCUACAAGCGUUCAAAUAAAUGCUGUUAAAUUUCA